UACGUAGGGAGCAAGCGUUGUCCGGAAUCAUUGGGCGUAAAGCGCGCGUAGGUGGCCUCGUAAGUCCGCUGUGAAAGUCAAAGGCUCAACCUUUGAAAGCCGGUGGAUACUGUGGGGCUAGAGUACGGAAGAGGCGAGUGGAAUUCCUGGUGUAGCGGUGGAAUGCGCAGAUAUCAGGAGGAACACCAAUGGCGAAGGCAGCUCGCUGGGACGGUACUGACGCUGAGACGCGAAAGCGUGGGGAGCAAACAGG
rnacentral:rRNA from 1 species